GGCCAAAUGGUCUAGUGGUAUGAUUCUUGCUUUGGGUUACCAACUCAACUGCAAGAGGUCCCGUGUUCAAUCCACGGUUUGGCCC
rnacentral:tRNA from 2 species